GAUGAACGCUAGCGACAGGCUUAACACAUGCAAGUCGAGGGGCAGCGGGGGAGUAGCAAUACUCCCGCCGGCGACCGGCGCACGGGUGAGUAACACGUAUGCAACCUGCCCUCUUCAGGGGGACAACCUUCCGAAAGGGAGGCUAAUCCCGCGUAUAUCGGUUUCGGGCAUCCGUUAUCGAGGAAAGAUUCAUCGGAAGAGGAUGGGCAUGCGGCGCAUUAGCUAGACGGCGGGGUAACGGCCCACCGUGGCGACGAUGCGUAGGGGUUCUGAGAGGAAGGUCCCCCACACUGGUACUGAGACACGGACCAG
rnacentral:rRNA from 1 species